CAACAAAGGCCCUUAAUGAUAAGCCGGAGCCUGCGUUCCACUGGGCCCCCAAGAUCUCGCGAGAUUUCAGGGCGCCCGGCUUCCCUCAGUGGGAAGGUUUUAACACCUCAUCUUUACUUCCCGGCUGCCGAAUCCCCACUUGUGCUGCUCUUUAGCUGGGAAGGGUUUCCUCUCCGCAGAGGAUGUGGGUAGACAAUGACAAGCUGGGGUGUAUGCUGCUGAAACCACUGCUGUGUGUGAAAGAAUGAGCAACUGAUCCUGAAUUUUGGUUGUUAGACUCAGAAUGGAUCUUUGCUAAACCCAAAGCUUGAGAAAAAUGCACUGUACUGGGACCUGAAACUCUGGAAGAAAUCAAGCGACAUACUGCCUCUGUAGUCAUGGAACUACAGGCUGGGGAAAUCCCUGAUAUGACUCAUGUGGUUAAGUAUAUAAAUAAUGAUGAAUGCCUCAAGACUGAAAGAAGACUCCAUUGAAUCUUUAAAGAAUCUUAGCAUCAAAAGCAGAAGGAUUUAGGAAAGCCAAGAUAUGAUGGUUAAUUUUGUCUGUCAGCUUACCUGGACCACGGAGUACCCAGUAUUUGGUGAAACAUCAUUCUGAGUGUGUGUGUUUUGGAGUGAGCAUAAUUCUUGAAUCUGUAGACUGAGUAAAAAAAAAAAACAAAAAAACCCGCCCUCCCUAAUGUGGUUGGCCCUCAGCCAAUGAGUUGAAGAUCCAAAUAGAGCAAAAUAGCAUACUCUCUUUCAGGGAACCCUGCCAAAUAUGCAAGUCAUCAAAACAAACCAAAUAUUACCUCCAGGAAUUUUUCUGUGAAUCAUCAAUGGAUUCAAGACUUGGUUGAAUUCUCCUCUUCUGGACUCCAAUAAUACCUUGUCAGUUUAGUCCUUUAAAGCUUUAGUCUUUUUUCAAAAUUUCAGUUAGUAUUAUAUUCCAGAGAUAGCAG
rnacentral:lncRNA from 1 species